GACGAACGCUGGCGGCGUGCCUAAUACAUGCAAGUAGAACGCUGAAGAGAGGAGCUUGCUCUUCUUGGAUGAGUUGCGAACGGGUGAGUAACGCGUAGGUAACCUGCCUUGUAGCGGGGGAUAACUGUUGGAAACGAUAGCUAAUACCGCAUAACAAUGGAUGACACAUGUCAUUUAUUUGAAAGGGGCAAUUGCUCCACUACAAGAUGGACCUGCGUUGUAUUAGCUAGUAGGUGGGGUAAUGGCUCACCUAGGCGACGAUACAUAGCCGAUCUGAGAGGGUGAUCGGCCACACUGGGACUGAGACACGGCCCAGACUCCUACGGGAGGCAGCAGUAGGGAAUCUUCGGCAAUGGGGGCAACCCUGACCGAGCAACGCCGCGUGAGUGAAGAAGGUUUUCGGAUCGUAAAGCUCUGUUGUAAGUCAAGAACGGGUGUGAGAGUGGAAAGUUCACACUGUGACGGUAGCUUACCAGAAAGGGACGGCUAACUACGUGCCAGCAGCCGCGGUAAUACGUAGGUCCCGAGCGUUGUCCGGAUUUAUUGGGCGUAAAGCGAGCGCAGGCGGUUUGAUAAGUCUGAAGUUAAAGGCUGUGGCUCAACCAUAGUUCGCUUUGGAAACUGUCAAACUUGAGUGCAGAAGGGGAGAGUGGAAUUCCAUGUGUAGCGGUGAAAUGCGUAGAUAUAUGGAGGAACACCGGUGGCGAAAGCGGCUCUCUGGUCUGCAACUGACGCUGAGGCUCGAAAGCGUGGGGGGCGAACAGGAUUAGAUACCCUGGUAGUCCACGCCGUAAACGAUGAGUGCUAGGUGUUGGAUCCUUUCCGGGAUUCAGUGCCGCAGCUAACGCAUUAAGCACUCCGCCUGGGGAGUACGACCGCAAGGUUGAAACUCAAAGGAAUUGACGGGGGCCCGCACAAGCGGUGGAGCAUGUGGUUUAAUUCGAAGCAACGCGAAGAACCUUACCAGGUCUUGACAUCCCGAUGCUAUUUCUAGAGAUAGAAAGUUACUUCGGUACAUCGGUGACAGGUGGUGCAUGGUUGUCGUCAGCUCGUGUCGUGAGAUGUUGGGUUAAGUCCCGCAACGAGCGCAACCCCUAUUGUUAGUUGCCAUCAUUCAGUUGGGCACUCUAGCGAGACUGCCGGUAAUAAACCGGAGGAAGGUGGGGAUGACGUCAAAUCAUCAUGCCCCUUAUGACCUGGGCUACACACGUGCUACAAUGGUUGGUACAACGAGUUGCGAGUCGGUGACGGCGAGCUAAUCUCUUAAAGCCAAUCUCAGUUCGGAUUGUAGGCUGCAACUCGCCUACAUGAAGUCGGAAUCGCUAGUAAUCGCGGAUCAGCACGCCGCGGUGAAUACGUUCCCGGGCCU
rnacentral:rRNA from 1 species